UACGGGGGGGGUAAGCGUUGUUCGGAAUUACUGGGCGUAAAGGGCUCGUAGGCGGCCAACUAAGUCAUACGUGAAAUCCCUCAGCUUAACUGGGGAACUGCGUGUGAUACUGGAUGGCUUGGAUUCGGGAGAGGGAUGCGGAAUUCCAGGUGUAGCGGUGAAAUGCGUAGAUAUCUGGAGGAACACCGGUGGCGAAGGCGGCAUCCUGGACCGAUAUUGACGCUGAGGAGCGAAAGCGUGGGGAGCGAACAGG
rnacentral:rRNA from 1 species